UACAGAGGGUGCAAGCGUUGUUCGGAAUUAUUGGGCGUAAAGGGCGCGUAGGCGGUGCGGUAAGUCUGUAGUGAAAUCUCUGGGCUCAACUCAGAGUCUGCUAUAGAAACUGCCGUGCUUGAGUGUGGGAGAGGUGAGUGGAAUUCCCGGUGUAGCGGUGAAAUGCGUAGAUAUCGGAAGGAACACCAGUGGCGAAAGCGGCUUCCUGGUCCGACACCGACGUUCAGGCACGAAAGCGUGGGGAGCAAACAGG
rnacentral:rRNA from 1 species